rnacentral:lncRNA from 1 species
GUGGUUGCUUGUUGUAUACAACUAUUUAGGGGGAGCAUGAUAGUUUGUCAUGCUUGUUGGUGUUUAUGUUGCUACUGCUGCUAGAGUUCUGCGUGUGCAUGAUUGUUUGUCAUGCUUGUUUUUGCUGUAGUGGAUGCUGCUACUACUGUUGGUGCUUGUGCAGAUGUCAAACCAAAUGUUCUGACAUCUUGCCUGCAGUUUUUAUUGGAGAACUUUGGUUUCUCUUAUUUGUG